AUUCCAGCUCCAAUAGCGUAUAUUAAAGUUGUUGCAGUUAAAAAGCUCGUAGUUGGAUUUCUGGUGUUUCCAUUGUGUCUUCCGAGAGGAAUGAACACUUUUGUUAACACCAUCUUCUCGGAGACUCUUCGUGCUCUUAACUGAGUGUGGAGAGGAUUCGGGACCUUUACUUUGAAAAAAUUAGAGUGUUCAAAGCAGGCCAUCGCUUGAAUACAUUAGCAUGGAAUAAUGGAAUAGGACUUUGGUUCUAUUUUGUUGGUUUCUAGGACUAAAGUAAUGAUUAAUAGGGACAGUUGGGGGCAUUAGUAUUUAAUUGUCAGAGGUGAAAUUCUUGGAUUUAUGAAAGACUAACUUCUGCGAAAGCAUUUGCCAAGGAUGUUUUCAUUA
rnacentral:rRNA from 1 species